rnacentral:rRNA from 1 species
AACGAACGCUGGCGGCAGGCCUAACACAUGCAAGUCGAGCGCGCCCUUCGGGGUGAGCGGCGGACGGGUGAGUAACGCGUGGGAACGUGCCCUUUUCUACGGAAUAGCCUCGGGAAACUGAGAGUAAUACCGUAUACGCCCUUUGGGGGAAAGAUUUAUCGGAAAAGGAUCGGCCCGCGUUGGAUUAGGUAGUUGGUGGGGUAAUGGCCUACCAAGCCGACGAUCCAUAGCUGGUUUGAGAGGAUGAUCAGCCACACUGGGACUGAGACACGGCCCAGACUCCUACGGGAGGCAGGAGUGGGGAAUCUUAGGCAAGGGGGGCAACCCUGAUCUAGCCAUGCCGCGUGAGUGAUGAAGGCCUUAGGGUUGUAAAGCUCUUUCAGCUGGGAAGAUAAUGACGGUACCAGCAGAAGAAGCCCCGGCUAACUCCGUG